rnacentral:rRNA from 1 species
UACGAGUGCCUCAAGCGUUAUCCGGAAUUAUUGGGCGUAAAGCGUCCGCAGGUGGCACUUCAAGUCUGCUGUCAAAGACCGGGGCUUAACCCUGGAAAGGCAGUGGAAACUGAAGCGCUAGAGUGUGGCAGGGGUAGAGGGAAUUCCCGGUGUAGCGGUGAAAUGCGUAGAGAUCGGGAAGAACAUCGGUGGCGAAAGCGCUCUACUGGGCCAUAACUGACACUCAGGGACGAAAGCUAGGGGAGCGAAUGGG